GCCGGGCCCAAACAUGCAAACCCUUAUUAACAGCUAUGCGCAAGUGGCAAAGACCAAAAUUAACAACGUGAGCCACACAGGUCUGAGUCACCACUCACCAGCUGACCUGUAUUCUUCCAAUAACCAAAAUCUGUCUUCUCUCUCUCUCUCUCUCUCUCUCUCUCUCCCUGAGUCUACGUUUGGCAGUUUUCAGUUUCUCGCUCUUGCUCUUUUCCUAAUUCUUAGAGGAAAAGAAAAAACCUAAUAGAAUCCCAUUCAAUUCCCCUAUUAGUUCCAAUCAAUCGAAAUUCAACAAUUUCUCUUCUUUUCAAUCAACCAAUCAAGCAAAUAGAUCCAUCUUAAACCCUUCAAUUCUAUAAAAAAAUUUGGGGGCUUUUGCUGUUUCUUUUUCGAUUUUCGAAAAUGGAUUCUAGCAGGCGAGCGGUUGAAUCAUAUUGGAGAUCGCGGAUGAUCGAUGGGGCUACCUCCGAUGAAGACAAAGUAACGCCCGUUUAUAAGUUAGAAGAGAUCUGCGAGCUCUUGAGAUCGUCGCAUGUUAGUAUUGUGAAAGAGGUCUCCGAAUUUAUCUUGAAACGACUCGAUCACAAAAGCCCCAUAGUCAAGCAAAAGGCUUUGAGGCUGAUAAAAUAUGCAGUGGGAAAGUCUGGUGUAGAGUUUAGGAGAGAGAUGCAGAGGAACUCAGUUGCUGUGCGUCAGUUAUUUCAUUACAAGGGGCAGCCGGAUCCUUUGAAGGGGGAUGCACUCAAUAAGGCUGUACGGGACACAGCACAUGAGGCUAUUUCUGCUAUAUUUGCAGAGGACAAUAAUAAUAGUAAGCCUUCGCCUACAGAUGACCUUAACCGACGAAUACAAGGAUUUGGGAACACAAACUUUGAAAUGCCAUCCGAUGAUAAGAAAUCAUUUCUAAGUGAGGUUGUUGGUAUUGGAAGUGCAUCUAUCAAGCAGGGAAUCAGUAGUAUCACUCAAGGUCAUUCUCUUAGAAAGAAUGAUAAUGGAAGCUAUAAGAGUCCUACACUUCGAAGGUCAUUGACUACAGAAAUUGACCAUUCUGAUAGGUAUGAACCAGUUGAAUUGGGCAAUGACAGUAAAGAGGUUUCCAAGAAUACUGCUAGUGGACCUUGGGGCCAUGAUUCAAGAGUAUUAAAGACAGAAACAACAAAUGGGGAAUCCAGCUCAAAUUAUUCAGAGACUAAAACUCGUGAGGAGAGACUGUUGGAAACCAUAGUGACAUCGGGUGGUAUACGUCUACAACCUACUCGAGAAGCCAUUCACGCUUUCCUUGUGGAGGCUGCAAAGCUUGAUGCAUUGGCCUUAAGUCAUGCCCUUGAAUCUAAGCUUGUAUCUCCAAUGUGGCAGGUGCGCAUGAAAGCUCUGUGUGUGCUUGAGUCCAUUAUGAGGAAAAAGGAAGAUGAGCAUUUUCUAGUUGUGGCUUCUUAUUUUACCGAGAACAAAGAUGUUGUUUUGAGAUGUUCUGAGUCUCCCCAAACUUCUCUUAGAGAAAAGGCUAACAAGGUGUUGAUCCUCUUGAAUGGGGAACAGACAGGUGGUUUGGCAAGUCAUUCAGAAAAGUCUUUGAAGGCUGAUAGCACAUAUGUUCAAAUGCCUGACCUGAUUGACACUGGUGAUCCAGAUGAUUAUAAUGGACUCGAUAAUUCCACAAAAAACCAACAUGAUGAAUACACUGCAAAUCUAACAGCAACUCCGCUUAUUGAUGACUUAUUUGGAGAUAGUCUGGAUGCUGGUCUCAGCGGCAGGGAACAGAAAAGUGAUGAAGAUCCAUUUUCAGAUGUCUCAUUUCACACUGGUGAGGGUAGAGAGAAUGUGGACGAUCUCUUCUCCGGGAUGACUAUAGAUGACAAGUCUGUCAUCAAUGGUAAUUAUAUGGCUGCAAAUAAAAAAUCUGAACAAAUUGAUAUCUUUUGGACCAAUUCUGAAGCUCCAUUGGAGCCAGAGAAUAAAAAAAAUGCUGUUAAUGAUAUAAUGGCUGGCUUGUCAAUGAAUGAGAAUCCAUCUAAUUUGAAGCAGAAGGGAAUCUCUUCUGAGGCGUACCCUGAAAAUAUAUUUGCCAAUGUCAACACUCAUACUAGCUAUCAUGCUUCUAAUGAUGCUUUGAGUGGUAUCCUUGGUUCUCAAACUGCUGGGAUGAAUGCAAAUCCGAUGUUUCCUAUAGGGACCAUGCCAUAUGCCAUUACUCCUGGAAUAAUGUUGAACCCAGCGUUUUCUUCUCAACCUAUGAAUUAUGGUGCUAUGGGGAGUUUCUUUGCUCAGCAGCAAUUUCUUGCAACAAUGUCUAACUCACGUCACUUUGGCAAUCUUAAUGCCCAAAAUACUGGCAUCAAUCAUGUUUCCAGUGGAUCUAAUGGAGGAUCUCCUCUGCCUGAUAUAUUCCAGUCAAAUUUUCCAACUCAAACGCCUAGUUCAAUGAUGAACAGUUCAAAGAAAGAGGACUCCAGAGCAUUUGAUUUUAUUUCAGACCAUCUUGCAGCUGUUCGUGCUCCAAAGAGAACAGUGUAGGGUAUUGUGCUUCUGCAUACAUACCAUCUUUUAGAAUAUUCCAGCACUUAAUGAUGGUAAUAUUCAUUUGAAAUAAUGAAGCAGUGAUAUUACAUGCGUCUUUGACCAUUGCUUUGCAUGUAAUAUAAGUGGGGAACAUCCUUAAAUUAAAAAGAAUAGGCUACAAUCUUUUUGUAUUUGAGAUGAAAGAAAAUUGAGAAAAAGUUGUGCAGUUAGUUGUUCUAGUUUUCCAAGUACUUUUUUUUUUUUUUCAGUUUCUUUCUGGUUCUUCUUGUAAUGGAUUUGUAUUUGUAGAGAUUUGUACCUCCAGUUUUUGCCACCUCCUCCAAGAUUUGUAGAGACUUGUAUGAAAGCUGAUCAGCUGAGAGAGAGACGACGAUGACGACGAGGACGAGGAGGAGCAUAUAUUUUACAUUUAAAUGGGUACAUUCAUGGAACUGGGUCACUUGUGCAGGUAACCUUCAAACUAUUCGACUUCUGGAACCGGGUCUUCAGCACUGAUUAAUAUGGGGAUUCAGGACCUGGUUUCCGAUGCUAGUCAGCAGGAUGGUGUCAAGUGAGCAGUCUGGUUCCUUAAACAGUUGUAUUAGUACUAUCUAUCCAGAAUCCUGCAUUGCAACAAUCACAUUUCCUGUCAGCCAAAGUUAUAAAAACCCGUAACCUCUUCAGGUAAUAGGUUCGAAACAAAGAAGGAAUGAGAUCAAAUCUCAAACAGGAAAAGUUAUAAGAAGAGAAGGGCUCGUUCUAGGCUU